CUGGAAAUGCAAGUACUGGAGAAACAGCUUCAUCAGCAACAACCAUGGUAUCAAGCACUACCCUGUCACCAAGCAUGCUACCAACAAAUACCACGCCAACUGCGGCAUUGGCAACAAGUGCAGAGGCAAACAGCACAUCACCUACAGUGGCACAAGCCACUACUACUGCUGCAACACCAACAGCAACAGUUACUGGUGGUGGUGAUUCUGACACAACUACUUUACUGGCAACGACAAUGAAGAACACAUCACCUACAAUGACGCAAGCCAAUACUC